rnacentral:tRNA from 1 species
GUCAGGAUGGCCGAGCGGUCUAAGGCGCCAGACUCAAGUUAGCUUGCUAACUUUGUUGGCCAUGUGAUUUCUGGUCCACGACUGUGGGCGUGGGUUCAAAUCCCACUUCUGACA